rnacentral:lncRNA from 1 species
CGGGAUGCCGCCGCUCUCUCAGCGGGGAUAACUUCCAGUCCGCUGCAAGUUCGGCCGCACCGGAGGGCAGCGCACAGCCGCAGCCCCGCUCAGCUCCGCGCUCCCAUUUCACCCGCACCCAACUUUCACGGGGCCGCCCCCAGCGGAUGCCGCCGGACAAACCCAGCCGGGCGGCUCCCGGUCGCAGCGCCCGCCCCGCUCGGCCGAGACUCCGAUCCCGCCGCCCGGCCGGGUGCGGAGCCCCCUCCCCAUCGCCCCGCGCCCGCCGGAAAGUUGCGGCCCCGCGGCCGCCCUCACCUUGGUUGGAGGCGCCGUGUCCGCCGGCCGCGGGGCGCGCCGUCAGCAGGGGGAGGAAGAGGCCGAAUCUCCAGAGCAGACCCCUCGCGUCGCAACACCCCAUGGCUGGGGCCCGCCGAGCGCCCCGCGUCCUCCUUCAGGCCGGCGGGGAACGCCGCGGCGCGACUGCAUCCACCGGCGGCGUCCCGGGGCACGGCGGCGGCCAAGGAGGAGAGAGGGAAGGCGGCGAGGGGCGGCGGCGCUGACGAGCGGGAGAGCUUCGGCAACUUCGGGCUGAGCCCCGCUCCUGGGCGGCCCUUCAGCCCCGUAGAGGCGCCGCCGGCAGCUCCGGCAGCCUCCUCCGCCGUCCGCGCCGCAUCCCCGGCCGGAGGCAGCGCCGAGGGGCUUCAGUAUCCCAUAGCGGAGGACGGUCCUGCCCCGCCGCCGGGCUGUUCGGCUGCAGGCAGGUUGAGGAGCGGGGCUGGGCGCCUCCUCACGCUCCCCGUGGCAUCAACAAAACUUGCGGGGCGGCAUCCCCGGCCCCGCCGCCGCCUCUCGCCCCGCUCUGUCUCUGCCUCUCCCUCUCAGCCGCGGCGACUCCGCCGCUCGCUCCCGAUCUGCGCGUCGCGCUCCCGGCCGCGGCUUUUGGUGCCGCCGCUCCCCCGCCGAGCGGCACGGCCCCAGCCCGGCGGGUGCCGGUCCGCCGGGAGGGCGGCGCGGCCCCGCGCCGGGGGCGCUGGGGCACAGGCGGCCCGCCGGCCAAACGGGCGGCCGGGAGCGCGCGGGGAGCGGCGCGGGGGCGAGAGCCUUUGGGCGGCGGCGGCGGCCCCUCCUCAGCCGCCCUCAGAGGGGAGUGCGGGCGUGAGGUGCGCGGCGCGACUCGGCGAGGGGAGGGGAGGGAUGGAGGGAGGAGAGGCGCCCCCUCGGCUCGCAGCCCGCGGGUCAGAUGCGGCCGGCUGGGCGCUAGAGGGGGUUAGUUGA